rnacentral:lncRNA from 1 species
AAAAGUAGAAGAACAGAAACCCAUAAACCAAGAAGAAGAAGGAUCGAAGCAAGAAGAGUUGUUUGGAUCUCUAUGUACACCAACUUCAAGUGACCACAAGAUUCCUGAGCUGGAGACUUGUCCUCCUGCGCCAAGAAAGAGACCGCGUGAGAUUCCUCUGACAAAGAAGAAAAAAUUGUCCAAAGAUCUUAAGUUCUUUGAAGCCACCGACGUCGGUAGCCACGAGGUAGAGACUUUCUUUGUUCAUAACCCUAACCACGUCCGUAAGAAACGGAGGAGUAAUAGCGCCUGAAUCUUUUCUGUUAUAUCUCUUGUAUGUGUUUCUUCUUUCCCCACAAAACACAAACUUGAUUGUGUAGGUUUGUUUGUUUAGACAUCAGUUUCGAUCACUUUGUAUUAUUACCUAUAACUUUAACUCCGUUUGUGUACAUAAAUUUUGUAUAUAUCGACUUUGUUUUAUGUAUCUUACAGUUUGAUCCUCAUAGCAAUAACAAAAUAAAUAAUAAAUGCAAAAAUAGUAGGUGAAUUAAUGAUAUCAGUUGAAUCUUAGGUGCUAGAGUAAUUAAAAACAAAUUAUCGUAUUGGAUCUUUUGGGCUUAAGGACUACCUUGAUGCACUUGGGCUCAGGUGGUCCAUACGAUAUUGUUGUUUAGUGUUUACUGUUGUUUCUUUUCUUUGGUCAAAAACUGUUGUUUCUUUUCUUGCAUCUUAUGCAGAGCUUAAUAAAUAUUUGCAAGACAUGGCCGGUCCGGAGCAUAGACAAAAGAACCGCUGAUAGCAUCAUGAUUUUAACCAAUAAUUUUAGUUGUAUAUAGGGUAUUAUAAAAAAUUUACAUGAAUAACACGGACAUAAAAUUUAAAAUGAGUUUGGGGCAUCCAAUUUUUUUUUAAAGUGUUGGACCGGCAUUGUUGCGAGAUUAUAUAUUAUUGUCAUCAGCUCCUCAAGAAAAAUAAAUAGUGCAAACAAGAAAAAAUGUUCCGUUCACAAAACGAUAACAAGAAGAUUUACUACAAACCGAUAGACAAGACACAAUAACAUAAAUAGAGAUACCAAGAGAAACAUUGCCAAAGGUCCCGAAAUUGCCCGGUCAGAGAGAGAGAUUCAUAAUGGACUAGUGUACCGUUGACCAAGACCUUGGUCAACUUCUCGAUCUCCCAUCUCCUCUCGUCCGAGUUCAUAUUCAUGUAGUAGCUAUCGGUGAUCCCUUAAUUAGAAUGGUUCAUAACAAGAUUAGAAGAAGACAUAAUCAUAAUCACAAUAAUCAUUAAACGACUAACCGGAAGAUCUUUGUCUUGAGGUAUUGCCUCGUGUUUGCUCUUGUUGUUAGGCAUGCUUUCGGAGGUGAGAGAUGACGAUUGUGAAAGGUCUAUGAAGAAGGUUAUAUAUAUAUAUAGAAAGUGCAUGUGAAACGAGUAAGUGAAACUUGAAAAAGAGUUAGUGCAAAGUGAUGACACAUGCUCU